rnacentral:tRNA from 1 species
ACCAGUGUAGUGUAACGGUAGCACAAGAGUCUCCAAAACUUUUAGUCAGGGUUCGAGCCCUUGCACUGGUGCCA